GGAAGAUUAGCUCAGUUGGGGAGAGCGUCGCCCUUACAAGGCAUGAAUGUCAUGGGUUCGAGUCCCUUAUCUUCCACCA
rnacentral:tRNA from 1 species